CGCGGGUAGAUCGGCUUCGGCCGCGGCGAUCUGCGGCCGCCACGACGACGGGACGGUGCCCGUCGGCGGCGCGGCGCCACCACCGGCGUC
rnacentral:tRNA from 1 species